rnacentral:rRNA from 1 species
AUGCAGCUCCAGGGCGAUGCCGCAGACGCAGAGCCGCCCCUCUUCGCGCCCUUGCCCCAAGCAGUGAUCGGCCGGCAGCCGGUCAGAGACAAGACGCCCCUCAAGACCAGGGUAGUGCCCAAGCCGACUCAACAGAGCCUCAGGCAAGCCAGCAAUCCAUCACCAGUGCCAGUCUGCCAGAGGGCGACGCUGUGUCUGGUGCACGGGCUUGGGAUCCUUGGCCCAAAGGAGAAGAUGACGGCCCAGGAAGCGGAGGCCCUCAUUCGCUGCUUCGACGAACCGUUGACGGACUCCGACAUUGCUGCCAUAGCGAAGCUCACCCACCUCGACCCCAGAGCGCUCAAGGCAAUCGCCGGCGUCAACGACCACCUCUCCUCGUUGACGACGACCAGCAUGGUGCUGGAGUAG